rnacentral:rRNA from 1 species
GACGAACGCUGGCGGCGUGCUUAACACAUGCAAGUCGAACGAGUGGCGAACGGGUGAGUAACACGUGGGUGAUCUGCCUUGCACUUCGGGAUAAGCUUGGGAAACUGGGUCUAAUACCGGAUAGUGCAAGAUGAGCUCGCGGCCUAUCAGCUUGUUGGUGGGGUAAUGGCUACCAAGGCUCGAUCCGUAACUGGUCUGAGAGGAGGAUCAGUCACACUGGAACUGAGACACGGUCCAGACUCCUACGGGAGGCAGCAGUGGGGAAUAUUGCACAAUGGGCGGAAGCCUGAUGCAGCGACGCCGCGUGGGGGAUGAAGGCCUUCGGGUUGUAAACUCCUUUCGACAGGGACGCGGUACCUGUAUAAGAAGCACCGGCUAACUACGUGCCAGCAGCCGCGGUAAUAC